rnacentral:rRNA from 1 species
CGCGUAGGCUGAGAGGAAAGUCAGAUGUGAAAUCCCGGGGCUCAACCCCGGAACAGCAUAUGAAACUCCCUUUCUAGAGGGUAGGCGGAGAAAAUGGAAUUCCACAAGUAGCGGUGAAAUGCGUAGAUAUGUGGAAGAACACCAGUGGCGAAGGCGAUUUUCUAGCUUAUACCUGACGCUGAGGCGCGAAAGCAAGGGGAUCAAACA